rnacentral:snRNA from 1 species
GUGCUUGUUUCAGCAGCACAUAUACUGAAAUUGGAACGAUACAGAGAAGAUUAGCAUGGCCUCUGCGCAGGGGAUAACAUGCAAAUUCGUGAAGCGUCCCAUAUUAAA